rnacentral:rRNA from 1 species
UACGGGGGGAGCAAGCGUUGUUCGGAUUUACUGGGCGUAAAGGGCGCGUAGGCGGCCUCUGCAAGUCGACUGUGAAAUCUCCGGGCUUAACCCGGAACGGUCAGCCGAUACUGCAGGGCUAGAGUGCAGAAGGGGCAACUGGAAUUCUCGGUGUAGCGGUGAAAUGCGUAGAUAUCGAGAGGAACACCUGCGGCGAAGGCGGGUUGCUGGGCUGACACUGACGCUGAGGCGCGAAAGCUAGGGGAGCAAACGGG